GAUGAACGCUGGCGGCGUGCCUAAUACAUGCAAGUAGAACGCUGAAGGAGGAGCUUGCUCUUCUGGAUGAGUUGCGGACGGGUGAGUAACGCGUAGGUAACCUGCCUGGUAGCGGGGGAUAACUAUUGGAAACGAUAGCUAAUACCGCAUGACAACAGUUAUUGCAUGAUAACUGUUUAAAAGGGGCAACUGCUCCACUACCAGAUGGACCUGCGUUGUAUUAGCUAGUUGGUGAGGUAACGGCUCACCAAGGCGACGAUACAUAGCCGACCUGAGAGGGUGAUCGGCCACACUGGGACUGAGACACGGCCCAGACUCCUACGGGAGGCAGCAGUAGGGAAUCUUCGGCAAUGGACGGAAGUCUGACCGAGCAACGCCGCGUGAGUGAAGAAGGUUUUCGGAUCGUAAAGCUCUGUUGUAAGAGAAGAACGAGUGUGAGAGUGGAAAGUUCACACUGUGACGGUAUCUUACCAGAAAGGGACGGCUACUACGUG
rnacentral:rRNA from 1 species